rnacentral:rRNA from 1 species
CAGUAGCCGCGGGAAAACAGAGGGUGCGAGCGUUAAUCGGAUUUACUGGGCGUAAAGCGUGCGUAGGCGGCUUUUUAAGUCGGAUGUGAAAUCCCUGAGCUUAACUUAGGAAUUGCAUUCGAUACUGGGAAGCUAGGGUAUGGGAGAGGAUGGUAGAAUUCCAGGUGUAGCGGUGAAAUGCGUAGAGAUCUGGAGGAAUACCGAUGGCGAAGGCAGCCAUCUGGCCUAAUACUGACGCUGAGGUACGAAAGCAUGGGGAGCAAACAGGAUUAGAUACCCGUGUAGUCCCUGUCUCUUAUAC